rnacentral:misc_RNA from 1 species
AAGUCGUAACAAGGUUUCCGUAGGUGAACCUGCGGAAGGAUCAUUACCAUAAUAAAAAAUCCUUCAACCCAUGUGCACGAUGAAUAUAAUGUCUUGGUUUUUGGGGGUAAGCAUCAGUUUACCCCCGACCAAUUUCUUUAAACUACUUUUAAAUUAGCUUGGCAUUGUAAUAUGUAAUUAUUAAAAAUGACAACUUUUAACGGUGGAUCUCUUGGCUCGU